UAUCUACUCCCUCCGUUCGGAAAUACUUGUCGGAGAAAUGAAUGUACCUAGAUGUAUUUUAGUUCUAGACUAGAUACAUCCAUUUUGGUGACAAGUAUUUCCGAACGGAGGGAGUAGCUG
rnacentral:pre_miRNA from 1 species